rnacentral:rRNA from 1 species
CCUACGGGGGGCAGCAGUGGGGAAUAUUGGACAAUGGGCGAAAGCCUGAUCCAGCCAUGCCGCGUGUGUGAAGAAGGCCUUCGGGUUGUAAAGCACUUUCAGUGGGGAAGAAAGCCUUGGGGCUAAUACCCUCGAGGAAGGACAUCACCCACAGAAGAAGCACCGGCUAACUCCGUGCCAGCAGCCGCGGUAAUACGGAGGGUGCGAGCGUUAAUCGGAAUUACUGGGCGUAAAGCGCGCGUAGGCGGUCUGAUAAGCCGGUUGUGAAAGCCCCGGGCUCAACCUGGGAACGGCAUCCGGAACUGUCAGGCUAGAGUACAGGAGAGGUAGGUAGAAUUCCCGGUGUAGCGGUGAAAUGCGUAGAGAUCGGGAGGAAUACCAGUGGCGAAGGCGGCCUUCUGGACUGACACUGACGCUGAGGUGCGAAAGCGUGGGUAGCAAACAGGAUUAGAUACCCUAGUAGUC